AGGUGCCUACGGGGGGCAGCAGUAGGGAAUCUUCCACAAUGGACGAAAGUCUGAUGGAGCAACGCCGCGUGAGUGAAGAAGGGUUUCGGCUCGUAAAGCUCUGUUGGUAGUGAAGAAAGAUAGAGGUAGUAACUGGCCUUUAUUUGACGGUAAUUACUUAGAAAGUCACGGCUAACUACGUGCCAGCAGCCGCGGGAAUACGUAGGGGGCAAGCGUUGUCCGGUUUUAUUGGGCGUAAAGCGAGAGCAGGCGGGUCAAUAAU
rnacentral:rRNA from 1 species